ACGAAGAUGAAGGCCGUGCGCCGCUUCUUCGACGACGGCGACAAGGUGAAGGUCACCUUGCGGUUUCGUGGUCGCGAAAUGGCUCACCAGGAACUCGGAAUGCAGUUGCUAAAUCGCGUUCGCGAGGAGACCAGCGAGAUUUCGAAGGUCGAAGCCGAGCCAAAGUUGGAAGGCCGUCAGAUGAUGAUGGUUCUGGCGCCGCGCGGCUGAAAGGUCAGGCCGUUUCGGCCGAUUUUUAAUGAUGACGGGCGGCGGCACGAAUUGCGCCGC
rnacentral:misc_RNA from 1 species